AGGGAAGUAGCUCAGUGGUAGAGUCCAGGCUUAGCAUGCAUGAGGUCCUGGGUUCAAUUCCCAGUUCCUCCA
rnacentral:tRNA from 1 species